rnacentral:rRNA from 1 species
GACGAACGCUGGCGGCGUGCUUAACACAUGCAAGUCGAACGGAAAGGCCCUGCUUGCCGGGUACUCGAGUGGCGAACGGGUGAGUAACACGUGGGUGCUCUGCCCUGCACUUCGGGAUAAGCCUGGGAAACUGGGUCUAAUACCGGAUAGGAGCCAUUUUUAGUGUGAUGGUUGGAAAGUUUUUUCGGUGUAGGAUGAGCUCGCGGCCUAUCAGCUUGUUGGUGGGGUAAUGGCCUACCAAGGCGGCGACGGGUAGCCGGCCUGAGAGGGUGGACGGCCACAUUGGGACUGAGAUACGGCCCAGACUCCUACGGGAGGCAGCAGUGGGGAAUAUUGCACAAUGGGCGCAAGCCUGAUGCAGCGACGCCGCGUGGGGGAUGACGGCCUUCGGGUUGUAAACGCCUUUCGCUAGGGACGAAGCUUUUUGUGACGGUACCUAGAUAAGAAGCACCGGCUAACUACGUG